UUUUUUUUUUUUUUUUUCCUUUUGAGACAAGAGUCUCACUGUGUUGCCCAGGCUGAAGUGCGGUGAUGUGGUCUCAGCUCACUGCAACCUCUGACCCCUGGGUUCAAGCAAUUCUUCUGUCUCAGCCUCCUGAGUAGCUGGGACUACAGGUGUGCGCCACCACACCUGGCUAAUAUUUGUAUUUUUGGUAGAGAUGGGGUUUCACCAUAUUGACCAGGCUGAUCUCAAACUCCUGACCUUGUGAUCCAUUCGCCUUGGCCUCCUAAAUUGCUAGGAUUACAGAUGUGAGCCACCACGCCCAGCUUCUGGGUCUUAUUUAAGCCUCUGUUUCAGCUGGUACUUUCUGUCAGCCUCUGUCAGGGAAAGGGAGGCAGCACCUUCUCACUGCCAGGCAGAAGUAGAAGCUCGGGUUUCUCACUCAGCCUCUGCUGACACCUGAGGUGCAGGUGGGGACUCCUCAUUACAGCUGAGUGGGAAUGGGAGUUCUGGCUUUCUGUGUGGUCUUCUCUGACCUUGCUGCAGGUGGGGAAAUCAGUAUCAGCUAGUGAGGAUCAAAGCCCCAACUCCCUACUUGGUCUUCUCAGCAGGGAUGUUGCUGUCAGUGGGCGGGGGAAAUGGCAGGGUCACUCAGCUCCCAGGUUUUCCAAUUGAGCAGGACAAAACUGCCUCCUGCUGUGGUGGAGAGGGCAUCUAGGGGCAGGGUGCAUGUUGGGGACAGAUCAGGACACCUCGAGGUGCCUUUCAGAGGGUUGCAGCAAUUGGCGUGCUGGCGUUGGCUGCCAGCGGGUGCAAGCCAUGAAGCAUGAGAUCACCAAGGACGGAGGGUCAGGCUUCUGGAUGUGCCCAGUCAGGGUGACAGACAGGCUGGAGCUGCUGGCCAGGCAGGCGAGACACUCUAGGGCCAGCUGGGUGGUCCUUCACGUCGCUAAACGUCCACAUGUUUCCUUACUGUGUCAUUAGCUGUGUCUGGUCUGAGGCUUCGCAUGAGGCUGAGAGCAGGUCAUGAGCAAAGGAAUCCAUUUUGAAAGCUCCGGGUGAGCCUGAGAAGUGUCCCAUGGGGAGAACCAGACAGGUUGUGUGGCCUGGGGAGUCACUCAGCCCCUCUGUGUUUGAGGACUCAGUUCUGUGCAUGGGGCUGGCAUGAGGCACAGAGCAUUCACCCAGUCUGUGUGGAUGAGCUGUGCCACAGGGACAGCUCUGCCCCGUCACCUCUGCACCCUAUUGUCAUUCUGCACAUCUGCAGUGACCCUCCUAAAGGAGCAGGCUUAUCCUCCCCACAGCCCCAGGGCCUCGCUCAGAAAGGCCAUGUGGAGGCCACGGUAAGAAUGUUCAUUUCUGUAGGGUUACUCAGCAAGCAUUUGUAACUUGGUCUCAGAGCACCCACCAUAUCCUGAGUACUGCUCUGCUUGCAGGGCAUGGAGCAGCCAACAAGAGAUGAGGUCACAGUGAAAUCAGUGGAUGACCA
rnacentral:lncRNA from 1 species